rnacentral:rRNA from 1 species
CGAGUGGCGGAUGGGUGAGGAAUACAUCGGAAUCUACUCUUUCGUGGGGGAUAACGUAGGGAAACUUACGCUAAUACCGCAUACGACCUACGGGUGAAAGCGGAGGACCUUCGGGCUUCGCGCGAUUGAAUGAGCCGAUGUCGGAUUAGCUAGUUGGCGGGGUAAAGGCCCACCAAGGCGACGAUCCGUAGCUGGUCUGAGAGGAUGAUCAGCCACACUGGAACUGAGACACGGUCCAG